ensembl:misc_RNA Metazoa_SRP Metazoan signal recognition particle RNA
GCCGGGCGUGGUGGUGCGUGCCUGUAGUCCCAGCUCCUCGGGAGGCUGAGACAGGAGAAUCGCUUGAACCCAGGAGGCAGAGAUUGCAGUGAGCCAAGAUCGUGCCACUGCACUCCAGCCUGGGUGACAGAGUGAGACUUUGUCUUCA